UACGUAGGUGGCGAGCGUUGUCCGGAUUUACUGGGCGUAAAGGAUGCGUAGGCGGAUAUUUAAGUGAGAUGUGAAAUACCCGAGCUUAACUUGGGUGCUGCAUUUCAAACUGGAUAUCUAGAGUGUGGGAGAGGAGAUUGGAAUUCCUAGUGUAGCGGUGAAAUGCGUAGAGAUUAGGAAGAACACCAGUGGCGAAGGCGAUUCUCUGGACCAUAACUGACGCUGAGGCAUGAAAGCGUGGGUAGCAAACAGG
rnacentral:rRNA from 1 species